UACAGAGGUGGCAAGCGUUGUUCGGAAUUACUGGGCGUAAAAGGGCGCGUAGGCGGUUCUUGCAAGUCCCGCGUGAAAUCCCUCGGCUCAACUGAGGAAUGGCACGGGAAACUGCUUGGCUUGAGUUCGGGAGAGGGAAGCGGAAUUCCGGGUUGUAGCGGUGAAAUGCGUAGAUAUCCGGAGGAACACCGGUGGCGAAGGCGGCUUCCUGGACCGACACUGACGCUGAGGCGCGAAAGCUAG
rnacentral:rRNA from 1 species